rnacentral:misc_RNA from 1 species
UUUCCGUAGGUGAACCUGCGGAAGGAUCAUUCAUAAUAAAGUGUUUUAUGGCACUCUUUAAGAAUCCAUAUCCACCUUGUGUGCAAUGUUAGAUCUCGUCAAUCUUGGCGAGAUUUUUAUACAUCAACUCAUUCUUUAACUAAUUUGUCUGAAAAAUAUUAUGAAUACUUAAUUCAAAAUACAACUUUCAACAACGGAUCUCUUGGCUCUC